rnacentral:rRNA from 1 species
GACGAACGCUGGCGGCGUGCUUAACACAUGCAAGUGGAGCGACGAACCAGGCUUCGGCCUGGGGUAAAGCCGCGAACGGGUGAGUAACACGUGGGUAACCUGCCCCGAUGACUGGGACAACCCGGGGAAACCCGGGCUAAUACCGGAUGUGCUUUCACCACAUCAGUGGUGAAAGUAAAGAUAGCUUCGGCCUUCGCAUCGGGAUGGGCCCGCGGCCCAUUAGCUUGUUGGUGAGGUAACGGCUCACCAAGGCGACGAUGGGUAGCUGGUCUGAGAGGACGAUCAGCCACACUGGGACUGAGACACGGCCCAGACUCCUACGGGAGGCAGCAGUGGGGAAUCUUGCGCAAUGCGCGAAAGCGUGACGCAGCAACGCCGCGUGAGUGGAGAAGGCCUUCGGGUUGUAAAGCUCUUUCAGUUGGGACGAAGCCCGGCUGGUGAAUAGCCAGUCCGGGUGACGGUACCUUCACAAGAAGCCCCGGCUAACUACGUGCCAGCCGCCGCAGUAACAC